UGGCAGGCCUAACACAUGCAAGUCGAGCGGUAGCACAGAGAGCUUGCUCUCGGGUGACGAGCGGCGGACGGGUGAGUAAUGUCUGGGAAACUGCCUGAUGGAGGGGGAUAACUACUGGAAACGGUAGCUAAUACCGCAUAACGUCGCAAGACCAAAGAGGGGGACCUUCGGGCCUCUUGCCAUCAGAUGUGCCCAGAUGGGAUUAGCUAGUAGGUGGGGUAACGGCUCACCUAGGCGACGAUCCCUAGCUGGUCUGAGAGGAUGACCAGCCACACUGGAACUGAGACACGGUCCACACUCCUACGGGAGGCAGCAGUGGGGAAUAUUGCACAAUGGGCGCAAGCCUGAUGCAGNCNUGCCGCCGUGUAUGAAGAAGGCCUUCGGGUUGUAAAGUACUUUCAGCGGGGAGGAAGGCGAUAAAGGUUUAAUAACCUUGGUCGAUUGACGUUACC
rnacentral:rRNA from 1 species